rnacentral:rRNA from 1 species
GAUGAACGCUGGCGGCGUGCCUAACACAUGCAAGUCGAGCGCGUCUGAUUUGAUGCUUGCAUUGAUGAAAGAUGAGCGGCGGACGGGUGAGUAACGCGUGGGUAACCUGCCCUAUACACAUGGAUAACAUACUGAAAAGUUUACUAAUACAUGAUAAUAUAUAUUUACGGCAUCGUAGAUAUAUCAAAGUGUUAGCGGUAUAGGAUGGACCCGCGUCUGAUUAGCUAGUUGGUGAGAUAACUGCCCACCAAGGCGACGAUCAGUAGCCGACCUGAGAGGGUGAUCGGCCACAUUGGAACUGAGACACGGUCCAAACCCCUACGGGAGGCAGCAGUGGGGAAUAUUGCACAAUGGGCGCAAGCCUGAUGCAGCAACGCCGCGUGAACGAUGAAGGUCUUCGGAUCGUAAAGUUCUGUUGCAGGGGAAGAUAAUGACGGUACCCUGUGAGGAAGCCCCGGCUAACUACGUGCCAGCAGCCGCGGUAAUACGUAGGGGGCUAGCGUUAUCCGGAUUUACUGGGCGUAAAGGGUGCGUAGGUGGUCUUUCAAGUCGGUGGUUAAAGGCUACGGCUCAACCGUAGUUAGCCUCCGAAACUGGAAGACUUGAGUGCAGGAGAGGAAAGUGGAAUUCCCAGUGUAGCGGUGAAAUGCGUAGAUAUUGGGAGGAACACCAGUAGCGAAGGCGGCUUUCUGGACUGCAACUGACACUGAGGCACGAAAGCGUGGGUAGCAAACAGG